rnacentral:rRNA from 1 species
CCCUUAGACGUUCUGGGCCGCACGCGCGCUACACUGAUCGGUGCAACAAGCAUCCGUCCUUGGCCGACAGGCCCGGGCAAUCUUUGAACGCCGGUCGUGAUGGGGAUAGACCUUUGCAAUUUUUGGUCUUCAACGAGGAAUUCCUAGUAAACGCAAGUCAUCAACUUGCAUUGAUUACGUCCCUGCCCUUUGUACACACCGCCCGUCGCACCUACCGAUUGAAUGGUCCGGUGAAACCUCCGGAUUGGCGCGUGCCCUCGGGCGCCGCCGAGAAGUUGGUUAAACCUUACCAUUUAGAGGAAGGUGAAGUCGUAACA